rnacentral:lncRNA from 1 species
CAAUGUGAAUUCCAAAACAGAACCCAGACAACAUAAACAGUAACAAAGGAGUAAAGACUAACAAUAUUGACAUAAUCUCAGUUAAAACAGUUCAAACUCUUUGAUUUCUACGGUAUUUGGAAGCUAUACAACCUAUUGAUAACAUAAUGUAGUCAGAAAUACACUAUUAAGGUGGCAAGAGGACCAUAAACGAAUCUGAUGUACUACUCCCUUCAAAUGUCUUGUUAUUUCAGUAGUACGGUCUGUACCUCAUAGAACUGCUGAAAAUUCAUCUACUUGGACACUUGUUCACCCUGCCAAACAAACAAGCAAAAGAACAAGUCCAAAUUGAGAUAGAAAAAAAAUAAAUGUACACGAAAGAUACAAGAUUGGUUCGAAUCAAGUAGCACAUUCUUCAGAUUAUAUGUACCACUACCUUAUAGCUCAGAUUAUAGGUAAGUAAACACCAUCCCAAUCGGCCAACCAACAACCAAUCGAACAACUCAACUAUAUAUUAAUUGCUAGUGUCCACUGCAAUCGGCAGUAGAAUGCCCCAGAAUUUGAAGUAGAUGAGACUCGCCUCUCUGACGAACCAACACAGCAGCUCGCACUCAGUGAUCCAUUACCCUGCCUACGACAAGGACACCUCCACCGGCUCAGUGAAGGGCUCCCUCGCCACCGGAAAGCAACAAUGUUAGAGACAAAAUCCAAGCGAUGAUAGAGAUGUGAAAAAUGGGUGGAAUGUUGAGAUCGAACUAGUAUGGUAAGUGAAUAUUUCAUCAGAGACAGAUGGGAACCGUACCACCCGCAAAAACUUGUCACCUAACAAUGCAUAUCCAUGGACGAUUUCUGUGGGAAAAUUAAAAGAACACACACCAAAGUACCAAAGUACAAAGUGAUUAAGUGAGAAUCCUAAAUAUUCCAAUGAGAAAGAACAUAAAGGGGACCAGUACCUGAAAUAUUGUGCAAUCAUAUCCAGAGCAGGUGAAGAAACACACAACAUACCGAUGAAUCCAAACCCUUAAAACCAUAUAGAUUUUUCUUUGUGCUAAUAUUCUGCAUCUGCAAGUCCUUCACUACCAAUGGUAAUAAUUACACUUGUCAGCACAAUAUAUAAGACAAAGAUACUAUUGUUCUCUUAAGAGAUAUAGAUAACCGAAAUAUAUGUAUAUAGGUAACUUACUUUGACGUACAAUAAAUAAGAAAUAGAUAGUAUUGUUCUCUUAAGACAAACCAUUUGAUCCCAUCGCUUCCAAGUCGCAAAUCUUUACUCGUUCUGUAGUUUUCUUGUCAGCCUUUAUAUUGUGAACGAAGCUUCUUUAUCCAACUGCCAAAUCUGAAUGUUGCUGCAAAACAGUAUACAGAAAUUAAAUGCAAAGGGCACUUAGUGAAUUUGUUGGAAGAUCCAUACUAAUACAACUGCCUGACAUACAUCAAUAGUACCAUCAGACACUCAUCUCCUGAGCCCUGACAGCUUUAGAAUCGUAAUGCAUUUUUGCUGCAUCAUUACCUUUUCUAUCACCAUCAACAGAUAGGCAGACCUGAAAGGUUUAAUGAUUGUCAAAAUUAUCACCCAAGAAUUAGAUUGCUGUAAAUGGAAGAAUAUCUAAAGAACAUCAGGGUGGGAACAUGGAAGAUAGAGAUCUACAAUAUCACAUGUUCAAGUUUCUUAAUAACCAUAGUAUUAUGCUAUUCAAUUAAACAAAGGGAAAAAGAAUAUGCUCUAGAUAGUAUUAAGCUAUCAGUAAGGUAGACCCGUCUGGAUCUAAGCAAUCAUACUGGAUCAAUAAAUGGGUUUUGAUGGACUAAUGAUGUAUUUUAGGUAAGUAUCCAGGCAUCAUGUGGCCAUAAGAAACUUUAUAUAGAUGUCAAGUGCAUGUCAUGCUUCUCAAGAUAUAAGGGAAUUUUCAAUCAAUCUAAUGGAGUUGCAGAACCUUCUUCACUUCGCAGGAUCUGAUGAACACAUAGGAACAUGAAAAAUAGAGUAAUAUAUAUCCUGACAUUUGGAAUCGUACAUGAACCAGGAAAAACACAAACUUUCUAUCGAGUUAUGACACCAAAACAUGCUAGAAAUUCUAUUGAAUCGUGGUGUUGGCGAACAGUCAAGAGGAAUUUAGGAGUGGUUACUCCUCUGAAUCAAAAGUACUCUAGAAAAAACGUCUAUAGGUUGGAAUCCUACAAAUUGCUUAAAAAUUCCUUUGAACCAAAGAAGCACAUAGUGUAGGAAAACAAUCCACACAAUUUUGGGGAAUUCAUCCCUUUGAACUAAAUGGUUUCGAGAAUUCCGCAUGGAUUGGAAUCUUACAAAAAUUCUUUGACCAAAGGGCACGCUGGUUCCAUACCUCUUCCUCAAGCAUACUUUUCGCCGCUGCUUUCACAUAGGUUUUCGACUGUUCAACUUCUGUUCAUACUAUGAACAAAAACAUCGCAUUUCUAUAGAAAAUGCAUCAGCAACCAUGAACCAAGCCUUGGGUGCAACCAUAUAAGCAAUAUACAGAAAUUGGCAAAACACGUCAAAAUGCAAGAAAGUGACUGUAUUUUCACAAAGUUCUUCCUCAAAAUUCUUCCUCUUCUUUAUCAAACCCGCAGGCGUUGUGUUUAGAAAAAACAUAAAUUGAGAAAUUAGAAUAAAAUCAUCACAGAGAAUCAUGUAGUAAAAACUAAGAGAAAGAUGAUGGGAUUGGGGACACUCCUCAAACUUUAUGUUGUAGUUCUAUGACUAUAUCCGAGUCUUUUGCCUUUUUUCAAACUACACCACAAAUUAGUUUCUAGACAACUGAAUCUGCCAAGAAAAUUCAAUUUUAUUUUUAGUUUGGAGGUCCUGCAGUCUGCAGAUAUAACAUUAGAGAGCAGUAUAAGUUGAAACAAAAAUGAAGUACCUGAUCUGUUGUGACCUUAGUUUCAACAGAUUCUCACUUAACUCUCACACUCUGAGUAUUGCUCCUCCUACAACAGAAAAUGGCUGCAUAAGAACACAUGAGUUCAUGUAGGAUAGAGUUGUGUUCUGGUAUUGGUUAGUUCAACAAAAAAUAAGAGAGUAACAGAGGGCAUCAAACUGAUUUGCAUAGUUGUAGCUACCUCUGCACAAAUAUAAUUCUUGCAUCAUGUGCAUCGCAGUUACCUUGACCAACAACAAUAAUAAUAAUUCUCCCUGUCAUCAAAUUCUCACCAGAAUAAGAUCAGCUGCAGGUAAAAAUUCAAGCUAAUGAUUGACGUACACCAAAUUUUUUUAGUCACCCUCGCUUCACUGUAAGAAAUAUAGCCUAGUUCCACCAUGAUUAUAUGAAGCAAAACGACAUAAACCGGCUUAGAUCGAAGGAACCCAAUGAGUCUUGCUGCAAAGAUGGGGGAGAAUGAUUGGUAAAGCUGAC